GGUCGCUUAACUCAGCUGGUUAGAGUGCUGUACUAAUAAUCUGAGAGCUUCGGUUCUAGGUCACUAGUAAAUGCAGAUGUCGGCGGUUCGAUCCCGCCAGUGAUCA